rnacentral:rRNA from 1 species
GAUGAACGCUGGCGGCGUGCCUAAUACAUGCAAGUCGAGCGAAUGGAUUAAGAGCUUGCUCUUAUGAAGUUAGCGGCGGACGGGUGAGUAACACGUGGGUAACCUGCCCAUAAGACUGGGAUAACUCCGGGAAACCGGGGCUAAUACCGGAUAACAUUUUGAACCGCAUGGUUCGAAAUUGAAAGGCGGCUUCGGCUGUCACUUAUGGAUGGACCCGCGUCGCAUUAGCUAGUUGGUGAGGUAACGGCUCACCAAGGCAACGAUGCGUAGCCGACCUGGGAAGGUGAUCGGCAACACUGGGACUGAGACACGGCCCAGACUCCGACGGGAGGCAGCAGUAGGGAAUCUUCCGCAAUGGACGAAAGUCUGACGGAGCAACGCCGCGUGAGUGAUGAAGGCUUUCGGGUCGUAAAACUCUGUUGUUAGGGAAGAACAAGUGCUAGUUGAAUAAGCUGGCACCUUGACGGUACCUAACCAGAAAGCCACGGCUAACUACGUGCCAGCCGCCGCGGUAA